rnacentral:rRNA from 1 species
AGAGUUUGAUCCUGGCUCAGAUUGAACGCUGGCGGCAUGCCUUACACAUGCAAGUCGAACGGUAACGGGCCUUCGGGCGCCGACGAGUGGCGAACGGGUGAGUAAUGCAUCGGAACGUACCUUUCAGUGGGGAUAACGUAGCGAAAGUUACGCUAAUACCGUAUAUUCUGUGAGCAGGAAAGCAGGGGAUCGCAAGACCUUGCGCUGAUUGAGCGGCCGAUGUCAGAUUAGCUAGUUGGUGAGGUAAAGGCUCACCAAGGCGACGAUCUGUAGCGGGUCUGAGAGGAUUGAUCCGCCACACUGGAACUGAGACACGGUCCAGACUCCUACGGGAGGCAGCAGUGGGGAAUUUUGGACAAUGGGGCAACCCUGAUCCAGCCAUGCCGCGUGAGUGAAGAAGGCCUUCGGGUUGUAAAGCUCUUUCGGCCGGGAAGAAAUCGUAUGGGCUAAUACCCUGUGCGGAUGACGGUACCGGCAUAAGAAGCACCGGCUAACUACGUG